AAGAUACUCCCUCCGUCCCAAAAUUCUUGUCUUAGAUUUGUCUAAAUACGGAUGUAUCAAGUCACGUUUUAGUAUUAGAUACAUCCGUAUCUAGACAAAUCUAAGACAAGAAUUUUGGGACGGAGGGAGUACUAA
rnacentral:pre_miRNA from 1 species